rnacentral:rRNA from 1 species
GAUGAACGCUGGCGGCGUGCCUAAUACAUGCAAGUCGAGCGAACGGACGAGAAGCUUGCUUCUCUGAUGUUAGCGGCGGACGGGGGAGUAACACGUGGAUAACCUACCUAUAAGACUGGGAUAACUUCGGGAAACCGUAGCUAAUACCGGAUAAUAUUUUGAACCGCAUGGUUCAAAAGUGAAAGACGGUCUUGCUGUCACUUAUAGAUGGAUCCGCGCUGCAUUAGCUAGUUGGUAAGGUAACGGCUUACCAAGGCAACGAUGCAUAGCCGACCUGAGAGGGUGAUCGGCCACACUGGAACUGAGACACGGUCCAGACUCCUACGGGAGGCAGCAGUAGGGAAUCUUCCGCAAUGGGCGAAAGCCUGACGGAGCAACGCCGCGUGAGUGAUGAAGGUCUUCGGAUCGUAAAACUCUGUUAUUAGGGAAGAACAUAUGUGUAAGGAACUGUGCACAUCUUGACGGUACCUAAUCAGAAAGCCACGGCUAACUACGUG